CUUUUGUAUAUAUAGUCUUGGGCCAAAUGCUCGCCACAAUAAUAUAUGUCUAUAUUAUUGAAAAUUAGUAAUACGCAAUCUGACGUUCUUUAUAAAAAAUGAGUAUUUAUUCUACAUUCAGCAGGAAACAGUUAUAUAUACUUAACAGAUGGUAAUUCUUAAUGAUGUUACAGAGAGUCGUCUUGACAUCAGAGAGGAGAGCAAACGGAUCGUAGCAGGAAGAGCCCGUAAUCCUUUGUCCUUGACUCUAUAUACCCCAAAUUACGUCAUAAUGUUUAGUUUAGACCCUGCCAUAUAAGGAAGUUCCCUAUAUAAAGACCGCCUCAAAUCUCUUAUACAGCAAAUUCCAGAGACCUCAUAUUACAGAGUAGCAAACACCAUCUGUUCUGUUUAACCCAUUAGACAGCCACACCUUAAUAUGUAUUUGAAUAGGAACAUACAGAAUAUGCAAUAUUCUACAUUUCCCUCUGUUUAUGGUUUAUUUAUAAACCAUAAUAAUGUUAUUUACCUGUCCAUUCAUACAUCAUUCGUAUCACAUUUUAUAUCACAGUCGUUGGGUAUAAGAAGAGAUGUGUUCAUAGCUACCCGGUAUCUGAGAUUCCUUGGAAGUAUUGUGUAUUACCCUGUUUACAGUUUCCUUUAGUGUAUUCUCCUUCUGUUUAACCUUUUCAUUUAUGAGUAUAUACAGUUUUCUAAUUCUACAUUGCAUAAUUACUUGUAAAACAAUACAUAUUAUAGAUACACAUACAACAAUAAUAAAUGGAUGAAAUAAAAUAUUUACAAUUGCUGAUCCUACAGAUGAUUUAGCAAGUGUGUUUGUACUUUUAAUUAUG